rnacentral:rRNA from 1 species
GACGAACGCUGGCGGCGUGCCUAAUACAUGCAAGUUGAGCGCUGAAGGUUGGUACUUGUCCCGACUGGCUGAGCAGCGAACGGGUGAGUAACGCGUGGGGAAUCUGCCUUUGAGCGGGGGACGACAUUUGGAAACGAAUGCUAAUACCGCAUAAAAACUUUAAACACAAGUUUUAAGUUUGAAAGAUGCAAUUGCAUCACUCAAAGAUGAUCCCGCGUUGUAUUAGCUAGUUGGUGAGGUAAAGGCUCACCAAGGCGAUGAUACAUAGCCGACCUGAGAGGGUGAUCGGCCACAUUGGGACUGAGACACGGCCCAAACUCCUACGGGAGGCAGCAGUAGGGAAUCUUCGGCAAUAGACGAAAGUCUGACCGAGCAACGCCGCGUGAGUGAAGAAGGUUGUCGGAUCGUAAAACUCUGUUGGUAGAGAAGAACGUUGGUGAGAGUGGAAAGCUCAUCAAGUGACGGUAACUACCCAGAAAGGGACGGCUAACUACGUG